rnacentral:rRNA from 1 species
CUGGUUGAUCCUGCCAGACCCGACUGCUAUCGGAUUGGGACUAAGCCAUGCGAGUCAACUCCGCAAGGGGUGGCGCACGGCUCAGUAACACGUAGUCAACCUACCCUGGGGACGGGGAUAACCUCGGGAAACUGAGGCUAAACCCCGAUGGGCCAUGGCUCCUGGAAUGGGCUAUGGCUGAAAUCUACAUGGCCCCAGGAUGGGACUGCGGCCGAUCAGGUUGUUGGUGGGGUAAUGGCCCACCAAGCCUAUAACCGGUGCGGGCUCUGAGAGGAGGAGCCCGGAGAUGGGCACUGAGACAAGGGCCCAGGUCCUAUGGGGCGCAGCAGGCGCGAAACCUCCGCAAUGGGCGAAAGCCCGACGGGGUCAGUCCGAGUGGUUCCCGCUGAGGGAACCUUUUGCCAGCUGUAAACAGGCUGGCGAAUAAGGGGUGGGCAAGUUUGGUGUCAGCCGCCGCGGUAAUACCAGCACCCCGAGUGGUCGGCACGAUUAUUGGGCCUAAAGCAUCCGUAGCCGGCCCAGUAAGUCCUCCGUUAAAUCCAACGGCUCAACCGUUGGGCUGCGGGGGAUACUGCUGGGCUAGGGGACGGGAGAGGCGAGGGGUAUUCCCGGGGUAGGGGUAAAAUCCACUGAUCCCGGGAGGACCACCAGUGGCGAAGGCGCCUCGCUAGAACGUGCCCGACGGUGAGGGAUGAAAGCUGGGGGAGCGAACCGGAUUAGAUACCCGGGUAGUCCCAGCCGUAAACGAUGUAGGCUCGGUGUUGGGCUGCCUCAGUGGUAGCCCAGUGCCGCAGGGAAGCCGUUAAGCCUACCGCCUGGGGAGUACGGCCGCAAGGCUGAAACUUAAAGGAAUUGGCGGGGGAGCACCAC